rnacentral:rRNA from 1 species
UGCGUAGGCGGCUCAGAAAGUAGGGUGUGAAAGCCCUCGGCUCAACCGAGGAAUUGCGCCCUAAACUACUGGGCUUGAGGAACGCAGAGGUAAGCGGAACUUACGGUGGAGCGGUGAAAUGCGUUGAUAUCGUAAGGAACACCAGGAGCGAAAGCGGCUUACUGGGCGUUUUCUGACGCUGAUGCACGAAAGCUAGGGGAGCGAACG